rnacentral:rRNA from 1 species
AUUGAACGCUGGCGGCAGGCUUAACACAUGCAAGUCGAGCGGAGAUGAGGUGCUUGCACCUUAUCUUAGCGGCGGACGGGUGAGUAAUGCUUAGGAAUCUGCCUAUUAGUGGGGGACAACAUUCCGAAAGGAAUGCUAAUACCGCAUACGUCCUACGGGAGAAAGCAGGGGAUCUUCGGACCUUGCGCUAAUAGAUGAGCCUAAGUCGGAUUAGCUAGUUGGUGGGGUAAAGGCCUACCAAGGCGACGAUCUGUAGCGGGUCUGAGAGGAUGGUCCGCCACACUGGGACUGAGACACGGCCCAGACGCCUACGGGAGGCAGCAGUGGGGAAUAUUGGACAAUGGGGGGAACCCUGAUCCAGCCAUGCCGCGUGUGUGAAGAAGGCCUUAUGGUUGUAAAGCACUUUAAGCGAGGAGGAGGCUACUGAGACUAAUACUCUUGGAUAGUGGACGUUACUCGCAGAAUAAGCACCGGCUAACUCUGUGCCAGCCGCCGCCGUAAGAC